AGCCCAUGCCAUACAUAGCUCUUUAUUUCUUAUCUACUUUCUCCUCUUCUGGUUCCAGAACCAUCCCCAGGAUCCUACAUGCAUCAAUCAUAUCAUCUGAGAUUGUUCUAUGCUACAAGAGGCUCCUUACUUGUGCUCACCUGAAGUGGGUGGAAAAUUACAUAUCAGAUAUAUUGGAGAAGAACACAAUAUUUCUUCUGAAACUACCUUUUAAAAAAUAUUCAGGAAGGAAGCUAC
rnacentral:lncRNA from 1 species